GGGUGCAUGGUGGCUUAGUGGUUAGCACGUUCGCCUCACACCGCCAGGGUUGGGGGUUUGAUUCCCACCGUGGCCC